AUACGGAGGGUGCAAGCGUUACGCGGAAUCACUGGGCGUAAAGGAUGCGUAGGCGGGUAAUCAAGUUGAGAGUGAAAUCCUAUGGCUUAACCAUAGAACUGCUCUCAAAACUGGUUACCUAGAAUAUGGAAGAGGCAGAUGGAAUUAGUGGUGUAGGGGUAAAAUCCGUAGAGAUCACUAGGAAUACCGAUUGCGAAGGCGAUCUGCUGGGACAUUAUUGACGCUGAGGCAUGAAAGCGUGGGGAGCAAACAGGAUUAGAAACCCUAGUAGUCC
rnacentral:rRNA from 1 species